rnacentral:tRNA from 1 species
UGGGUCAUUGCCAAGUGGUAAGGCACAGGAUUUUGACUCCUGGAUGCGCUGGUUCGAAUCCGGCUGGCCCAG